UUCUUCCUAUUUGGCAAAUUUUACAAGCCUACAAUGGCAGAUUAUGUUGAAUAUCGACAAGACUCGAGCCAGGGGUAGUUUCUUCUUCAUUCCUUUCUCUCCUGGCAGUGCUAAGCCACGAAUAAGGAUCAGGACUUUCGUGCAUUUUGACGAACAUCACGUGAAUGCAUGCCUGUAAAGAGUGUAAGGAUAAUGGCAACUUUUGCAGGUUUUCUUUCCAUUAGACUCGCGGCUCUCCUCCUCAAGGCUCGGCCCCGCCCCUCCAGCCUCUGCCGGAUUCGACGCUGCCGACCUUGCUUAUCUGUUAUUCUCUUCCGAAUAUCACCUGCUAUAUUCAAAAUAUGGACACAAUGAGAAAAAUCGAAUUAUGUCUUGGCAUUUUCGAUGAUCCGGAGAGACGAGAAGUCGCCAUUUCCAUAAUGUGCUAUGAUGUAUAGUACAAAUGACAGAUAAAUUUCUUAAUCAGCCAGUUGGAUCACAAAUGCCUUUGGAAAUAGUCAACAAUCCUAGUUUCUUUCUAUUUUUUAAGGAUUGUGUUGGUGCAAUUGAUGGAACACAUAUACGUAUGAAAGUGUCAAGAAUUGAUGUUCCAAAGUUUCGUGGAAGAAAAGAUUUCUCCAUACAAAAUGUAUUGACAGCUUGUAAAUUCGAUUUGAAAUUUUCAUACAUCCUAGCUGGGUGGGAGGGGAGCGCAUCAGAUUCAAUGAUAAUAAUUAAUGCAUUAAAUAGACUUGAGGAUCCUUUAGUAAUUUUCGAAGGGUGGAUUAAUUACUCAAGGGGGAAUAUUACCAUUUGAAUGAAUACUCAAGGAAUCCACUACGCAAUGCUCGUGAGCUAUUUAAUUUUCGUCAUUCUUCUUUAUGUAAUGCGAUUGAACGUGCCGUUGGAGUUCUUAAAAAACAUUUUCCAAUUAUUUCAAGCUCUAAUGAACUUUAUUAUUGGGUGAAAACUGUUAAUUAUAUUAUAUUUGUUUGUUGCAUUUUGUACAACUAUUUAUGGGAAGAGGAUCCAAAUGAUGAAUUUCUUGUAGAGGUUGAUGAAGAACUUCUAAACGUUUCUCGUGAGGAACGAAAUCCAUAUAAUCAUAGGGACAGUAUCAAGAAAACAAGAA